UCUCUGUCCCGUCUUGAAACACGGACCAAGGAGUCUAUCCUGUAUGCAAGUUGUAUGGUGUAAAACCAAUAAGCGUAAUGAAAGUAAGAGGUGUGAAAGUUGUAAAAGUGUCAACACCUGCCGAUCUAAAUUCUUUGAUGAAAGAUUCGAGUAUGAGCAUAUAGGGUGGGACCCGAAAGAUGGUGAACUAUGCCUGAAUAGGACGAAGCCAGGGGAAACUCUGGUGGAGGUUCGAGUGGAUUCUAACGUGCAAAUUGAUCUUUAAAUUUGGGUAUAGGGGCGAAAGACUAAUCGAACCAUCUAGUAGCUGGUUCAUUCCGAAAUUUCCCUCAGGAUAGCUGCAACUUAUGAAAUAGUUUUAUGAGGUAAAGCGAAUGAUUAGAGGUUUCUGGGAUGGAAUAUCCUGGACCUAUUCUCAAACUUUCAAUGGGUAAGAAAAGUGUGAUGUUUAAUUAAUCAUACUAUUUGAAUAUGAGUUGCAAGUGGGCCAUUCCGGGUAAGCUGGACUGGCAAUGCGGGAUCAACCGAACGCUAUGUUACGGCGCCAGAUUGUUCGCUCAGUUGGAUGUAAAAGGUGUUAGUUCAUCUAGACAGCAGGACGGUGGCCAUGGAAGUCGGAAUCCGCUAAGGAGUGUGUAACAACUCACCUGCCGAAUGAAGUAGCCCUGAAAAUGGAUGGCGCUUAAGCGAACAGCCUAUACAUAGCCAUUAUUGUUAGGAUUAUACAAUAAUGAGUAGGAAUGCGUGAUGAAUGUUGUGAAGUAUGAUGUGUGAACAUGUAUGGAACAUUCAUUAGUGCAGAUCUUGGUGGAAGUAGCAAAUAUUCAAAUGAGAUCUUUGAAGACUGAAGUGGAGAAAGGUUCCAUAGGAAUAGUGAUUAUCUAUGGGUUAGUCGAUCCUAAGAGAUAGGUGAAAUCCAUUGAAAAGUCAAUUUCGAUUGACAUUUAUCGAAAGGGAAUCAGGUUAAUAUUCCUGAACCAAAGAGAAGGGUAAACGGUAACGUAUAGGGGUCUCAAGACAUUGAUGUUAUUCCCAGGAAGAGUUUUCUUUUCUUGUUAACAAAUGGGCAGUGCUUGGAAUCGAUUCAGUCGGCGAUAAGCAUUGUUAUUUGGUAAAGUACUACUAUUUUGUGUAGUAUCUGGUGCAAUGACAUGAAUCCUUGAAAAUUGAGACUUUUGUUUUCCCGAAGCUUUGGUCGUACUAAUAACCGCAUCAGGUCUCCAAGGUGAAUAGCCUCUAGUUAAUAGAAUAAUGUAGAUAAGGGAAGUCGGCAAAUUAGAUCCGUAACUUCGGGAUAAGGAUUGGCUCUGAGGGCUAAGUGGGUUUAAGGUGUUAAUAGUAUAAGUUUGAUAUGGGAUUGAGUGUUUUGAGUUGCUUCGGUGAUUUGAAAUAUUUGGUUCUAAUGUCUUAGUUGUCUAUUUUCAUCUACCACUAUGAAUAGCUAACUCAGAACUGGUACGGACAAGGGGAAUCCGACUGUUUAAUUAAAACAAAGCAUUGUGAUGGUGUGAAAGAUAUGUUGACACAAUGUGAAUUCUGCCCAGUGCUCUGAAUGUGAAAGUGGCGUAAUUCAAGCAAGCGCGGGUAAACGGCGGGAGUAACUAUGACUCUCUUAAGGUAGCCAAAUGCCUCGUCAUCUAAUUAGUGACGCGCAUGAAUGGAUUAAUGAGAUUCCCACUGUCCCUAUCUACUAUCUAGCGAAACCACAGCCAAGGGAACGGGCUUGGAAAUAUCAGCGGGGAAAGAAGACCCUGUUGAGCUUGACUCUAGUUUAACAUUGUGAAAUGACUUUAGAGGUGUAGCAUAGGUGGGAGGAGGUAACUCCGAUCCUGAAAUACCACUACUCUGAAUGUUGUUUUACUUAUUCCAUGAAAGAGGAUACUUACUUAAUUGUAAGUGUUAUGAUGUAAACUUUGGUGACCUCUUUGGGAGACAUUGUUAGGUGGGGAGUUCGGCUGGGGCGGCACAUCUGUUAAAGAAUAACACAGGUGUCCUAAGAUGAGCUCAAUAAGAACAGAAAUCUUAUGUAGAACAAAAGGGUAAAAGCUCAUUUGAUUUUGCUUUUCAGUAUGAAUACAAACUAUAAAAGUAUGGCCUAUCGAUCCUUUACAUAAAGGGAGAUCCUUGGUAGAGGUGUCAGAAAAGUUACCACAGGGAUAACUGGCUUGUGGCAGCCAAGCGUUCAUAGCGACGUUGCUUUUUGAUUCUUCGAUGUCGGCUCUUCCUAUCAUUGCGAAGCAGAAUUCGCCAAGUGUUGGAUUGUUCACCCAUUAAUAGGGAACGUGAGCUGGGUUUAGACCGUCGUGAGACAGGUUAGUUUUACCCUACUGAUGAAGUAAUUGUCGUAACAGUAAUCUAACUUAGUACGAGAGGAACCGUUAGUUCAGAUAAUUGGUAAAUCCAUUUAACUGAUAAGUUAGUGAUGGGAAGCUAUCAUCUGUGGGAUUAUGACUGAACGCCUCUAAGUCAGAAUCCUUGCUGAAAUGAAACGACGAUUCUCUUAAUAAGAGGAACAAUUUGUAUUUCACGCAAGAAUACUUGAUAUGUUAGUAUCAAGGAAAGCGAUUUGUAUAGUAUUGAAUGAAAUUGAAUUGUUAUUGCAAUCGUUUGUAGACGACUUAUAGUAAAGAAGGUACUGUAAGAGUAUGAGCUGGCUUGUUCCAGCGAGUCUUUGAGGUUUAUCCU
rnacentral:rRNA from 1 species